UAACUUCAGCAUCCACAACACUCACUACAACAACAGUGCCUACAUCCUCAGGAACAACUCCACCAGUAACAACAUCAGUAACUACAGAAUUCUCAACUACUAAAAUUCCCACAACCACAGUUUUGAGUACAGAAACUACACCUGUUAGUUCAAAAGUGGUGCCUACAACUUCAGAGAGUACAAAAGCAGAAACCGUAACUACAGCUUCAUCAUCCACACCUACAACAACAAACAAACCCACAACAUCAACAGCUGUAACUUCAGAAUCCACAACUCUCACUUCAACAGCAGUGCCUACAUCUUCAGGAAUAACUGCCCCAGUAAAAACAUCAGGAACUACAACAUCCUCAACCACUCAAAUUCCCACAAGCACAGUUGUGAGUACAGAAACCACAUUUAUUACUUCAACAGUUUUGCCUACAACGUCAGAGAGUAAAACAGCAGAAACCAUGAUUACAGCUUCACCAACCACACCUACAACAAAGAGUCCCACAACAUCAACGGCUGUAACUUCAGCAUCCACAACUCUUACUUCAACAUCAAUGCCUAUAUCUUCAGAAACAACUGCAGCUGUAACAACUUCAGUAACUACAGAGUCCUCAACUACUAAAAUUCCCACAACCACAGUUGUGAGUACAGAAACUACAUCUGUUGCUUCAACUUCAGAUAGUACAACAGUAGAAACCACAACUUCAUCCUCCUCAACCACACCUACAACAACAAACAAACCCACAGCGUCAACAGCUGUAUCUUCAGAAUCCACAACUCACACUUCAACAACUGUGCCUACAUCUUCAGAAACAACUGCACCUGUAACAACAUCAGUAACUACAGCUUCUUCUAUUACAACUCUUCCUUCCUCUAUGCCAUCAGCUCCAAUGUCAUCUAAAGCUCCUAGUACAACAACAUCCCAAACCGCAUUGCUUCUUGCAACCACAUCUACUGGAGCUCUCAGGUCCACUGUUGUAACUUCAGAAGCAACAACUCUUACAUCUACAACAUUUCCUACAACAUCAGGAAGUACAACUACACCUGCAACAAGCACAACUGCAGCUUCCAAAGCCUCAGUGGGGCCUUCCACUGCUGUGACUACAGCUUUCAAAACUACAACUACAUCCUCAACAUCUACACCUUCCUCAGCUGUAAUAGUGCCUUCUGCUUCUACAUCAUCAUCUCCAACCUCAUUAUCAACUAAUUAUCCAACAACAUCAACAACUAUAACUUUACCAAAAAUGUCUACAUCUUCAGAAGCAUCUGCACCUGUAACAAAAUCAGUAACUACAGCUUCCUCAACUAUAACUGUACCUUCCUCUAUGACAUCAGCUCCAAUGUCAACAACAGCUCAAACCACAAUGCCACUUGCACCGGCAACUUCUGAAACAAUCACAAGAAUGACUUCAGAAACCACAACUUCACCAACAACAUCAAUAACUACAGCCUCCGCAACUAAAACUGUAGUUUCAACAAUGACAACAGCAGCUUCUACAACCACAUAUAAACCUUCCACCAUGACCUCAGCUCCAAGUUCAACAACAGCUCAAAUCAAAAUGUCUAGUGUAGCUGCAACUACUGAAGUUGUGAUUCCAGAUUCCACAACUGUUGCAUCAACAACAAUUUCUACAAAAUCAGGAACAGCAAGUUCUAUUGCAACAACCACAACUACAGCUUCCACCACCACAAUCAUUCCUUCCACUACUACAUCAGAUCAAACCUCAACUAAGGCUGUAAGUACAACAUCAGAAGGUUCUAACACAAUGUCAGAAAGCAUAACUUCACCUGCAACAACCACAGAUUCCACAGCCAUGAUGGAAUAUUCAACUACUACAUCAAGUUUACCCUCAGCCACUACAACUGAAACCUCAACUCUUACUGCACCGACAAUGUUUGCAACUUCAGAGAGUAAACCUGCACCUGCAACAUCCACCAUUACAGCUUUCUCUUCUACUAACUAUCCCACAACUGAACGUCCAUCUCAAACCUCAGCUUCAAUUCCAAGCACAAACACACCUACAGUGGCAAAAACCACUGCAUUCCAAAUAAUAACUGCACCUAUAUCAACCACAACUAUUGCUUUCACUAAUACAGCUCCAGCUCUAAGCCAGGCAGGACUCCUUACAACAACAAAUGCACCUCCGGUUAUCACAACUGUGUCUCCAGAAACUGUAACUAUUGCUGUAACAAUUAUGCCUAUCUCAUCAUCACAUGUAACUAUAUUCUCAACAUUAACUCCAACAAAAACAACAGAACCUCCAAGAACCCCAACUACACCCAUUACAACCAUGACUGUUCUUCCCACCACUACAAUUCCAGCUGAUAUCUCAGUUACAGUUCCAAGCACAACAACAGCCACUAUUUCAAGUUCAACUGCAGCUCAAACAACAGAUGCAUUUCAAAUAACAACAGGAGGUCUUUUAAGAACAACAGUAGCUUUUACCAGCACAUCUUCUGCUCCAGUCACACCUGCACUUUCAACCAAAACAACUUCAAGGCCAAAAAUGGAUUCAGAGACUACAACUGCAUCAACAACUACAACUGGAAUUAGUACAGGUCUCAUCAGUGCAGCAGAAUUUCCAAUAGCUCCAGUUACAUCAGUUUCAAACACAAACACAUCAGUAUCUCCAACAUCUACAAUUCCACUUCAAUCAUCAACCAAAACUACACCAGCUGAAAUGAUUUCUAGCAAUACUACCCCGCUAAACAAUACAACAAAAGCAGAUGCAUCUGCAGCACUUCAAAGUACUUCAAGUUUGCAACCAGAAACUUCAAGCAUACCCAAAACUUUGUCAACGAAUGUGACUGGUGCAGCAACUGUCACAACCAAAUUGGUAUUCUCAUCCUUGUCAUCAAUGCCCACUAAAGAUUUGGUCCUAAAUGCUAUUAGUACUCUUCGGGAAUCUAGACAGUCCCAACUCAAUGAAUCACUGAAGAUUGCAAAUAUUACUUAUCAGGAGGUCUCAGAAACCUCCUACCUCAUCAUCUUCCAGUUUAGUCUGAGUAAUAUCAGCAUGCCAGAGAACCCUGAUCUAAGAAACAACAGUUACAUGCAAGUACAGGAUGUUGUGAAUAAUGCGCUAAACACUCUUCUGAAUGAACCUGGUAGUCCAUAUUUACAACCAAAGACCUCCAACUUCACGUAAGAUGCAGACAAAUGUCACAAUCUUUAUUGCAUAUGUCCUCACUGUUUAGCUUACUGAAGCUUUGAAGUUAUGUA
ensembl:lncRNA